rnacentral:lncRNA from 1 species
AGACAUCAGCAUUGGAAUUUCAAGUGCUCACUAGCCUAUCAGGUAUGAACCCCCACUUUCAGCAUCUUUCCAUGAUGAUUUGCCAUGCUAGAUUAUCUCCGUAUCUUAAUUUAUUUUAGCACUAGCCCAGAACCCAUUUCAUCUCCUGUUAGUUCAUAUGUUCUGAACAUUUGAUUUCAGGCAUUCUAAAUCUUAAAAACUGGUGAACUAGCAGAUCAAAGAAGGGAGCGUCCAUCAGAACAGCUAUAUUAACUAGAUGCAUCUACGAUAGCAGUACCUAGGAAAGAAGCUGGUUGAAUAAAUUAACAAUGAAUUACACUGGCCAAUAAGGAUUGCACAAUGCAGCUACCUUUGGGAUCUUAGCGACUGAUUCUCGGAUCAUGUAGUGCUUCCCGUAAGGGCUCUGCAAUUAACCAAAAAAAGUGAAAUAAUUUAACCAUGCCAGCAGAAGAAUGUUCACACAAAGCAAAAUUUUACAUGGUUACACAAGCAUUAGAAAUUCAUCUAUUCAAUCAUAUUUAUACCAACCCUACUUACAUUUCAAGUCAGCAUGAUGUUUUUCAUGAACCAUACACUGAGCAUAUUCAAAGAGACAUACCUGAUUUUUUGCUUUAGCCACAAUAAUCGAACGUUAGGAUUCUUAGUUGUAAUGAAUGUCUUCCUAAGUGUCUCAUAUUCAAAAAGAUCCAAGGCAUAUAACUUCUCAUUGGUUAAUUCAACCAUAGCAUCCACUUGAUCAGCACACUUCUCAAUUGAAAAUUUUUCCUCACGCCGUUUCUUUUCUUCAAGAGUUUCCAAAGUUUUGCUGGUUUGGCUCUUUUUGUACUCCACAUAUCCCUUAAGAGAAGAUCCAAUGUGACUUUGCUUACAUUUUUUUUCACCUUCUCCCUGCCUUGAAUCUUGAUUUGAUGAGGUAUAUUGAGCUUCAUUGUUUUCAUUAUGUGCCCUCGAGGUCUUUUGGACAUCAAAACUAGAGGCAAAGGGAUUUGUACCAUAGAGACUGAGAUCAUCACGAAGGUUUGUUCAGAAUUACUUCUUUCAACAGGAGCUGGAGGAGGGAGAGCAAGAGCUGGAGGAGGGAGAUCAGGAGUAGGUGUAGAUGACGUAAAGUUUAGAUUUUCUGUAGCAACUUCCUGUUCACAGAUAUGAUUGGAACUAAGAUCAGAUGAGUUUCAAAGAACCAAUAAAUUGUUUGAUGCUAAAAGUAACAAAUUAAG